UACGUAGGGUGCAAGCGUUAAUCGGAAUACUGGGCGUAAAGCGUGCGCAGGCGGUUUUGUAAGACUGUCGUGAAAUCCCCGGGGCUUAACCUGGGAAUGGCGAUGGUGACUGCAAGGCUAGAGUUUGGCAGAGGGGGGGUAGAAUUCCACGUGUAGCAGUGAAAUGCGUAGAGAUGUGGAGGAACACCGAUGGCGAAGGCAGCCCCCUGGGCAAGACUGACGCUCAUGCACGAAAGCGUGGGGAGCAAACAGG
rnacentral:rRNA from 1 species